CAGGCUUAACACAUGCAAGUCGAGGGGCAUCAGGAAGAAAGCUUGCUUUCUUUGCUGGCGACCGGCGCACGGGUGAGUAACACGUAUCCAACCUGCCCUUUACUCGGGGAUAGCCUUUCGAAAGAAAGAUUAAUACCCGAUAGCAUAAUGAUUCCGCAUGGUUUCAUUAUUAAAGGAUUCCGGUAAAGGAUGGGGAUGCGUUCCAUUAGGUUGUUGGUGAGGUAACGGCCCACCAAGCCUUCGAUGGAUAGGGGUUCUGAGAGGAAGGUCCCCCACAUUGGAACUGAGACACGGUCCAAACUCCUACGGGAGGCAGCAGUGAGGAAUAUUGGUCAAUGGGCGCUAGCCUGAACCAGCCAAGUAGCGUGAAGGAUGAAGGCUCUAUGGGUCGUAAACUUCUUUUAUAUAAGAAUAAAGUGCAGUAUGUAUACUGUUUUGUAUGUAUUAUAUGAAUAAGGAUCGGCUAACUCCGUGCCAGCAGCCGCGGUAAUACGGAGGAUCCGAGCGUUAUCCGGAUUUAUUGGGUUUAAAGGGAGCGUGGGUGGACUGGUAAGUCAGUUGUGAAAGUUUGCGGCUCAACCGUAAAAUUGCAGUUGAUACUGUCAGUCUUGAGUACAGUAGAGGUGGGCGGAAUUCGUGGUGUAGCGGUGAAAUGCUUAGAUAUCACGAAGAACUCCGAUUGCGAAGGCAGCUCACUGGACUGCAACUGACACUGAUGCUCGAAAGUGUGGGUAUCAAACAGGAUUAGAUACCCUGGUAGUCCACACAGUAAACGAUGAAUACUCGCUGUUUGCGAUAUACAGUAAGCGGCCAAGCGAAAGCAUUAAGUAUUCCACCUGGGGAGUACGCCGGCAACGGUGAAACUCAAAGGAAUUGACGGGGGCCCGCACAAGCGGAGGAACAUGUGGUUUAAUUCGAUGAUACGCGAGGAACCUUACCCGGGCUUAAAUUGCAGUGGAAUGAUGUGGAAACAUGUCAGUGAGCAAUCACCGCUGUGAAGGUGCUGCAUGGUUGUCGUCAGCUCGUGCCGUGAGGUGUCGGCUUAAGUGCCAUAACGAGCGCAACCCUUAUCUUUAGUUACUAACAGGUUAUGCUGAGGACUCUAGAGAGACUGCCGUCGUAAGAUGUGAGGAAGGUGGGGAUGACGUCAAAUCAGCACGGCCCUUACGUCCGGGGCUACACACGUGUUACAAUGGGGGGUACAGAAGGCAGCUAGCGGGUGACCGUAUGCUAAUCCCAAAAUCCUCUCUCAGUUCGGAUCGAAGUCUGCAACCCGACUUCGUGAAGCUGGAUUCGCUAGUAAUCGCGCAUCAGCCACGGCGCGGUGAAUACGUUCCCGGGCCUUGUACACACCGCCCGUCAAGCCAUGGGAGCCGGGGGUACCUGAAGUACGUAACCGCAAGGAUCGUCCUAGGGUAAAACUGGUGACUGG
rnacentral:rRNA from 1 species